rnacentral:pre_miRNA from 1 species
AAUAAACCAAUCAUUCACUUUUUACCUACAAUUUUUGACUCUUCGUCUUAUUCAAAUUUUUUUUGCGAUUGAUAUUUUUGUUUUUAUUAGAUGAUAAAUCAUGAAUAGUACUAAUUUUUUUCUAAUUUCCUGAAAAUUUUCAAAUAAAACGAAUGGUCAAACGCUGGACACGGAAACCGAAGAAUUGGUUUUUU